GAUCAUGGCUCAGGAUGAACGCUGGCGGCGUGCCUAAUACAUGCAAGUCGAACGCUUCACAUAUGUGAAGAGUGGCGAACGGGUGAGUAAUACAUAAGUAACUUGGCCUUUACAGGGGGAUAACUAUUGGAAACGAUAGCUAAGACCGCAUAGGUGUCAUAACCGCAUGGAGAUGAUAUGAAAUAUGCUACGGCAUAGGUAGAGGAUGGACUUAUGGCGCAUUAG
rnacentral:rRNA from 1 species